rnacentral:rRNA from 1 species
CGGGGCUCAACCUCGAAACUGCACUUGAUACUGCCUUGCUUGAGUACUGGAGAGGAGAUUGGAAUUUACGGUGUAGCAGUGAAAUGCGUAGAUAUCGUAAGGAAGACCAGUGGCGAAGGCGAAUCUCUGGACAGUUACUGACACUGAGGCACGAAGGCCAGGGGAGCAAACGGGAUUAGAUACCCCGGUAGUCCUGGCAGUAAACGGUGCGCGUUUGGUGUGGGAGGAUUCGACCCCUUCCGUGCCGGAGCUAACGCGUUAAACGCGCCGCCUGGGGAGUACGGUCGCAAGAUUAAAACUCAAAGAAAUUGACGGGGGCCCGCACAAGCGGUGGAGUAUGUGGCUUAAUUCGAUGCCACGCGAAGAACCUUACCUAGCCUUGACAUGCAUCUCUAAGUCGGUGAAAGCCGGCGAGUGUAGCAAUACACAAUUUGCACAGGUGCUGCAUGGCUGUCGUCAGCUCGUGUCGUGAGAUGUUGGGUUAAGUCCCGGCAACGAGCGCAACCCCUGUGAACUGUUGCCACCGGCCUUCGGGCCGAGCACUCUGUUCAGACUGCCCUGUGAAACGGGGAGGAAGGUGGGGAUGACGUCAAGUCAGCAUGGCCCUUACGGCUAGGGCUGCACACGUACUACAAUGCUCAGUACAGAAUGAACCGAAACCGCGAGGUGGAGGAAAUCCCUAAAACUGAGCCCAAUUCGGAUUGGAGGCU